GCCCCUAUAGUUAAAUGGUAUAACAUGACCAUGGUAAGGUUAAAUUUCAAGUUCGAUUCUUGGUGGGGGCACCA
rnacentral:tRNA from 2 species